rnacentral:rRNA from 1 species
GACGAACGCUGGCGGCGUGCUUAACACAUGCAAGUCGAGCGGUAAGGCCCUUUCGGGGGUACACGAGCGGCGAACGGGUGAGUAACACGUGGGUGACCUGCCCUCAGCUCUGGGAUAAGCCUGGGAAACCGGGUCUAAUACCGGAUAUGACUCCAUGACGCAUGUUGUGGGGUGGAAAGCCUUGUGCGGCUGAGGAUGGGCCCGCGGCCUAUCAGCUUGUUGGUGGGGUGAUGGCCUACCAAGGCGACGACGGGUAGCCGGCCUGAGAGGGCGACCGGCCACACUGGGACUGAGACACGGCCCAGACUCCUACGGGAGGCAGCAGUGGGGAAUAUUGCGCAAUGGCCGAAAGGCUGACGCAGCGACGCCGCGCGGAGGAUGACGCCUCGGU